GAAUACGGCGAAGAGGAUGAAGAGUAGUGUGCUGGUGCAAUUGUAAGCAUUAUGGGGGGCCUGCCGAUGUCGGAGGCCCCUUUUUUAG
rfam:Geobacter sulfurreducens PCA, complete genome.